rnacentral:rRNA from 1 species
AGUGAACGCUGGCGGCAUGCCUAACACAUGCAAGUCGAACGACCGCACGGUAAGCUCUCUCCUCUACUGUUGGCGGCUGGCGGGUGGGUGACGCAUGGAUAACAUACUUAUAUGACUGGGGUGACAUCGUAAAACCAGUUAUGCUAACACAGCAUAUUUUCAACGGCUUAGUUCAAGAGUGCUUGGGACUCUUGCUGUCUCUUUUAGACGAUGCCGCAUUAGCUAGUUGGGUGGGUAAAGGCCCACCAAGGCAACGAUGCGUAGCUGAGCUGAGAGGAUGAUCGGCCACACUGGAACUGAGACACGGUCCAGACUCCUACGGGAGGCAGCAGUGGGGAAUAUUGCGCAAUGGGCGAAAGCCUGAUCGAGCAAUGCCGCGUGGGUGAAGAAGGCCUUCGGAUCGUAAAGCUCUGUUAUUGGGGAAGAAAAGAUGUGGGUUAAUAUGUGCACAUUUUGACGGUACCUAAAGAGAAAGCGACGGCUAACUACGUG